rnacentral:rRNA from 1 species
UACGGGGGAUGCAAGCGUUAUCCGGAUUUAUUGGGUUUAAAGGGUGCGUAGGCUGUGAGGUAAGUCAGCGGUGAAAUGCCCCCGCUCAACGGGGUGAAGUGCCAUUGAUACUGCCUUGCUGGAAUGCGGUUGCCGUGGGAGGAAUGUGUGGUGUAGCGGUGAAAUGCAUAGAUAUCACACAGAACACCGAUUGCGAAGGCAUCUCACGAAUCCGCGAUUGACGCUGAUGCACGAAAGCGUGGGUAUCAAACAGG